rnacentral:rRNA from 1 species
UACGUAGGUGGCAAGCGUUGUCCGGAUUUACUGGGCGUAAAGAGCGCGCAGGCGGUCGUGCAAGUCGCGUGUGAAAGCCCCCGGCUCAACUGGGGAGGGUCACGCGAUACUGCUCGACUCGAAGGCAGGAGAGGGAAGUGGAAUUCCCGGUGUAGUGGUGAAAUGCGUAGAUAUCGGGAGGAACACCAGUGGCGAAGGCGGCUUCCUGGUCUGCGACUGACGCUGUGGCGCGAAAGCUAGGGGAGCAAACGGG